UACAGAGGUCCCGAGCGUUGUUCGGAUUCAUUGGGCGUAAAGGGUGCGUAGGCGGCGGGGUAAGUUUGAUGUGAAAUCCCGGGGCUCAACCCUGGAAUUGCAUUGAAUACUACCUUGCUAGAGUACCGGAGAGGAAACUGGAAUUUACGGUGUAGCAGUGAAAUGUGUAGAGAUCGUAAGGAAGACCAGUGGCGAAGGCGAGUUUCUGGACGGUAACUGACGCUGAGGCACGAAGGCCAGGGGAGCAAACGGG
rnacentral:rRNA from 1 species